UUAUGAACUCAUGGUAUUGACUGAAUAAUACAAAACUAUUAUUGAAGGAAAGGCCCAGAGGACCAGUACAUUGUGUUUGUAGAGAGUGACAGCACCUCUACUUAUACAAACUUUCUGGACCGAGGCCCAAUACAAGAAAGGAUGAGUCUUAUACAACAGAAUAACUAACCCAAAUAUUAAACAGAAUAAUAAAUCUUCUUAACACUCCCCCUCAAGUUUGGGGGCAUACAAGUUCAUGGUCCCUAACUUGCUCAUAAUCCUUUGAUGAUCUUCCUUCCCCAGCCCUUUUGUAAAUAUAUCAGCUUGCUGCUCUUUGCUUCUCACAUGUUGUAGAUUUAUGACACCUUGCUGCAACUUUUCUCUUACAAAAUGACAAUCGAUUUCUAUAUGUUUAGUUCUCUUGUGAAAAACUGGAUUAUUUGCCAUAUGAAUAGCUGACUUGCUAUCACAAAAUACUUGAACAGGUUCUAAUUCAUUUAUAUUCAAAUCUUUCAGUAAUCUAGUAAUCCAGACUACUUCAGAAACAGCACUACCCAGUGCCCUAUACUCUGCCUCAGCUGAAGACUUGGAAACUGUAUUUUGCUUCUUUGAUUUCUAGGAUACUGGUGAUCCUCCAAAUUUUACAACAUAGCCAGUUACAGAUCUUCUUGUGUCUGGACAUGUUCCCCAAUCUGAAUCCACAUAACAUUCUAACUGAGAGUUCUUUGAUGCAGUGAGCAAGAUCCCAAGUCCUAGUGUUCCUUUGAGAUAUCUCACUACUUGCAUUGCUGCUUUCAUAUGUGAUCUUCUUGGGUUAUUCAUAAACUGACUCAACCCCUGCAUGGCAAAGCUUAUAUCAGGUCUAGUAAUUGUUAAAUAUGACAACUUACCUAUUAAGCGCCUAUGGGCAGUCGAUUCAGGCAGCAGUGGAUCAUCUUUCUCAUUCUUUGGACUGCCACUCAAUCUUGUGCUCCUCUCGAUUGGAACACUAAGAGGCUUUGCUGCUGUCAAACCCAUGUCAGAUAAGAUAUCCAAGAUAAUCAUCAAACCAGAGAAAGUUUAUGACAACAAUGAAGACAAAGAGGAUGGAUGUAUCAUCGAAUCUUAUAGCAUGUUGAUUUUUGCCUAUCAGAUCAACGAUAUACCAAAAGCAAAAGAGUUUUUCUAGUGGGUGAUUCACCUUCACAAAGUAGUCAUGGAGUUGGAAUCGCACAACGGAGGUUUCACUUUGAGGUUCCCUAAUUAGGGAUCUCUAACUAGAAGAAAAUAUGACUGUGUGGGAUAAAAGAUGACACAUAGAGAUGUGUGCGCUUAGAGAAGGUGGUUGAAGAGCUGAGGACAAUAACGGAGGAAGUACAAAUCAGGAAUAGGAUGUUUGCCAAUCAAAUCAACGAUAGACCGAAUGCACAUAUACUGUUAACUAUCAAGUCAAACAAAGCUUAUGACAAUGAUGAAGAGGCAAAGGGUAGAAGUAUCAUUGAAUAUUAUUGCGUGUUGAAUUUUGCCUAUCAGAUCAACGAUACACCAAAGAAAAACAGUUCGUCUAGUGAGUCAUUCAGCUUUACAAAGCAGUCAUGGAGCUGGAAUCACAUAAGGCUAUACUUCAGGGUUCCCUUAAGAGGGAUCCCUGACUAGAAGAAAAGAUGACAAGGCGUGGGAGAAAAGACGAUAAAUAGGGACAUAUACGCUUAGAAAAGGUUGCUGGAGAGCUGGGGACAACAACGAAGCAAGUACAAAUUAGGGAUGGGAUGGUUCUUGAUCAAAUCAACGAUAUACCAAAAGCAUGCAUACUGAUAAGUAUACUUUUUAAAUGUACAUUCAUUUGAUAUACUUUUUACUUGCAUUGUAAC